rnacentral:rRNA from 1 species
UAGGGAAUCUUCCGCAAUGGGCGAAAGCCUGACGGAGCAACGCCGCGUGAGUGAUGAAGGUCUUCGGAUCGUAAAACUCUGUUAUUAGGGAAGAACAAAUGUGUAAGUAACUAUGCACGUCUUGACGGUACCUAAUCAGAAAGCCACGGCUAACUACGUGCCAGCAGCCGCGGUAAUACGUAGGUGGCAAGCGUUAUCCGGAAUUAUUGGGCGUAAAGCGCGCGUAGGCGGUUUUUUAAGUCUGAUGUGAAAGCCCACGGCUCAACCGUGGAGGGUCAUUGGAAACUGGAAAACUUGAGUGCAGAAGAGGAAAGUGGAAUUCCAUGUGUAGCGGUGAAAUGCGCAGAGAUAUGGAGGAACACCAAUGGCGAAGGCGACUUUCUGGUCUGUAACUGACGCUGAUGUGCGAAAGCGUGGGGAUCAAACAGG